UACGUAGGGUGCAAGCGUUGUCCGGAAUUUAUUGGGCGUAAAGAGCUCGUAGGCGGUCUGUCGCGUCUGCUGUGAAAACUCGGGGCUUAACCCCGGGCCUGCAGUGGGUACGGGCAGACUAGAGUGCGGUAGGGGAGACUGGAAUUCCUGGUGUAGCGGUGAAAUGCGCAGAUAUCAGGAGGAACACCGGUGGCGAAGGCGGGCUCUGGGCAGUAACUGACGCUGGAGGAGCGAAAGCGUGGGGAGCGAACAGG
rnacentral:rRNA from 1 species